UACGUAGGGUGCGAGCGUUGUCCGGAAUUAUUGGGCGUAAAGAGCUCGUAGGCGGCCUGUCGCGUCGGAUGUGAAAGCCCGGGGCUUAACCCCGGGUCUGCAUUCGAUACGGGCAGGCUAGAGUUCGGUAGGGGAGAUCGGAAUUCCUGGUGUAGCGGUGAAAUGCGCAGAUAUCAGGAGGAAUACCGGUGGCGAAGGCGGUCAUCUGGCUCGUAACUGACGCUCAGGCACGAAAGUGUGGGUAGCAAACAGG
rnacentral:rRNA from 1 species